AGGUAGCCAGCAUUUUCGUUCCUAUUGUCAUCACCCCGUCCUUCUUGACAUUCCUUGCAUGGUUUCUAUGUGGAUGGUUGGGAGCAUAUCCAAACUCAUGGUCUGCUGAAAGUAGCAAUUGCUUUGUUUUCUCACUCAUGUUCUCCAUAUCUGAUGUGUCUUAUUAUGAUUAUGGAUAAGACUUUUGUGAUGUAAUUGAUGAGACUAUGGAUUUAAAUAUUGUUAUGUGAUUGUGUGUGAGAUGUUUUAUGUGAAAA